rnacentral:rRNA from 1 species
UUCUACAGCCAUACCACCCUGAAUGUGCCCAACCAAUCUCAUCUGAUCUCAGGAGCAAAGCAGGGCUGGGCUGGGUUAGUACUUAGAUGGGAGAUUUAGUAAGUAGAAU